rnacentral:rRNA from 1 species
CCUACGGGAGGCAGCAGUGAGGAAUAUUGGUCAAUGGGCGGAAGCCUGAACCAGCCAAGUAGCGUGCGGGAUGAAGGCCCUACGGGUCGUAAACCGCUUUUGCACGGGGAUAACACCCUCCACUUGUGGAGGUCUGCAGGUACCGUGCGAAUACGGGCCGGCAAAUUCCGUGCCAGCAGCCGCGGUAAUACGGAAGGCCCGAGCGUUAUCCGGAUUCAUUGGGGUAAAGGGGAGCGUAGGCGGGCGCUCAGGUCAGCUGUAAAAUCGCGCGGCUCAACCGCGCCCCGCAGUUGAAACUGGGGGCCUUGAGUUCACAACAGGCAGGCGGAAGUCGUGGUGUAGCGGUGAAAUGCAUAGAUAUCACGAGGAACCACGAUUGCGAAGGCAGCCUGCCGGGGUGCGACUGACGCUGAGGCUCGAAGGUGCGGGUAUCAAACAGGAUUAGAUACCCGGGUAGUC